UACGUAUGGUGCAAGCGUUAUCCGGAUUUACUGGGUGUAAAGGGAGCGCAGGCGGCACGCUAAGCCUGAUGUGAAAACCCGCGGCCCAACCGCGGGAGUGCAUUGGGAACUGGCGGGCUGGAGUACCGGAGGGGCAGGCGGAAUUCCAUGUGUAGCGGUGAAAUGCGUAGAUAUAUGGAGGAACACCGGUGGCGAAAGCGGCUCUCUGGCCUGUAACUGACACUGAGGCUCGAAAGCGUGGGGAGCAAACAGG
rnacentral:rRNA from 1 species